CAGUGGCGAACGGGUGAGUAACACGUGGGCAAUCUGCCCUGCACUCUGGGACAAGCCCUGGAAACGGGGUCUAAUACCGGAUAUUACCUUCCCCUGCAUGGGGGUUGGUGGAAAGCUCCGGCGGUGCAGGAUGAGCCCGCGGCCUAUCAGCUUGUUGGUGGGGUAAUGGCCUACCAAGGCGACGACGGGUAGCCGGCCUGAGAGGGCGACCGGCCACACUGGGACUGAGACACGGCCCAGACUCCUACGGGAGGCAGCAGUGGGGAAUAUUGCACAAUGGGCGAAAGCCUGAUGCAGCGACGCCGCGUGAGGGAUGACGGCCUUCGGGUUGUAAACCUCUUUCAGCAGGGAAGAAGCGAAAGUGACGGUACCUGCAGAAGAAGCACCGGCUAACUACGUGCCAGCAGCCGCGGUAAUACGUAGGGUGCGAGCGUUGUCCGGAAUUAUUGGGCGUAAAGAGCUCGUAGGCGGCCUGUUGCGUCGGUUGUGAAAGCCCGGGGCUUAACCCCC
rnacentral:rRNA from 1 species